UACAGAGGUGGCAAGCGUUGUUCGGAAUUACUGGGCGUAAAGGGCGCGUAGGCGGUCCGAUAAGUCCCGUGUGAAAUCCCUCGGCUCAACUGAGGAAUGGCACGGGAAACUGCCGGGCUUGAGUUCGGGAGAGGGAAGCGGAAUUCCGGGUGUAGCGGUGAAAUGCGUAGAUAUCCGGAGGAACACCGGUGGCGAAGGCGGCUUCCUGGACCGACAGUGACGCUGAGGCGCGAAAGCUAGGGGAGCAAACGGG
rnacentral:rRNA from 1 species